rnacentral:rRNA from 1 species
AUUGAACGCUGGCGGCAUGCCUUACACAUGCAAGUCGAACGGUAACAGGUCUUCGGAUGCUGACGAGUGGCGAACGGGUGAGUAAUACAUCGGAACGUGCCCAGACGUGGGGGAUAACGAGGCGAAAGCUUUGCUAAUACCGCAUACGAUCUAAGGAUGAAAGCAGGGGACCGCAAGGCCUUGCGCGUUUGGAGCGGCCGAUGGCAGAUUAGGUAGUUGGUGGGAUAAAAGCUUACCAAGCCGACGAUCUGUAGCUGGUCUGAGAGGACGACCAGCCACACUGGGACUGAGACACGGCCCAGACUCCUACGGGAGGCAGCAGUGGGGAAUUUUGGACAAUGGGCGAAAGCCUGAUCCAGCAAUGCCGCGUGCAGGAUGAAGGCCUUCGGGUCGUAAACUGCUUUUGUACGGAACGAAAAGGCUCUGGCUAAUACCUGGGGCACAUGACGGUACCGUAAGAAUAAGCACCGGCUAACUACGUG